GUCUCUUCGGAGACAUCUGAUAAAAUUGGAACGAUACAGAGAAUAUUAGUAUGGCCAUUGCGCAAGGAUGACACACACAAAUCGAGAAAUGGUGAGGGUAUUC
rnacentral:snRNA from 1 species